AGAUGUGAGAGUCAUCUGGCUGAGACUUCUGUUGCCCCCUGGGUCAUCAGCACUGAGGACACUGAACUGACUGUUGAGGUAGAUGUCCCCCUUUCUUCCUCCCUCAUGGCUUUCUGUAUGCCCCUGUUCCCUGAAGCUGCAUAGGUGGAGACACUGGCAAACAGAAAGGGCAGCCUCAGUCUUGGGUGAGAUUGGCUAAGGAAAAGGUAGGUGGCUGGCCUGGGAGUACAGUGGCAAGGAGCUGCUAAGAGAAGCUGGAUCCCACAUGGUGACCAUGGUUUGAAUCC
rnacentral:sRNA from 1 species